UAUUGGAAGCUUGCUUCCGAUAGGCGUCGACCGGCGCACGGGUGAGUAACGCGUAUCCAACCUGCCCACCACUUGGGGAUAACCUUGCGAAAGUAAGACUAAUACCCAAUGAUAUCUCUAGAAGACAUCUGAAAGGGAUUAAAGAUUUAUCGGUGAUGGAUGGGGAUGCGUCUGAUUAGCUUGUUGGCGGGGUAACGGCCCACCAAGGCGACGAUCAGUAGCCGGACUGAGAGGUUGACCGGCCACAUUGGGACUGAGAUACGGCCCAGACUCC
rnacentral:rRNA from 1 species